rnacentral:rRNA from 1 species
CCUACGGGUGGCAGCAGUGGGGAAUAUUGGGCAAUGGACGCAAGUCUGACCCAGCAACGCCGCGUGAAGGAAGAAGGCUCUCGGGUUGUUAACUUCCUUUUAGGGGGAAGAGCAGAAGACGGUAUCUCUUGAAUAAGCCAUGGCUAACUACGAGCCAUCAGCUGCGGUAAUACGUAGGUGGCAAGUGUUGUCCGGAGUUAAUGGGUGUAAAGGGCGUGUAGCCGGAGAGACAAGUCAGAUGUGAAAUCCACGGGCUCAACCCGUGAACUGCAUUUGACACUGUUUCCCUUGAGUGUCGGAGAGGUAAUCGGAAUUCGUGGUGUAGCGGUGAAAUGCGUAGAUAUAAGGAAGAACACCGGUGGCGAAGGCGGAUUACUGGACGAUAACUGACGGUGAGGCACGAAAGCGUGGGGAGCAAACAGGAUUAGAUACCCGAGUAGUC